ACAUAUUUUAGAGCUUAAUCAUUAAAAAUAAGAAUAAUUAAUUACUUUCAAAUCCAAUUUCAUUAAACUUUUCAAGUUUAAAAUCCAAUAAUAAAAUAAAUAGUAACCCAUUUCUUCUUUAAUAUAAACUUUACCUUGAUCUGAUUUAUUUCUUAAUAAAGAAAUUAUAAAUAUUAAUUCUUAUAAAAUAUUUAAUAACGACGAUAUAAAAAUUUCUAAUUAAAGUUAAUUCCAUUGUGGAGUAUCAUUUAUAGAACAGGUUCCUCUGAAUAGUUUAAAAUACCGCCAAAUUAUUUAGCUUUAAAGAAC
rnacentral:rRNA from 1 species